CUACCUUUCUCGGCCUUUUGGCUAAGAUUAAGUGUAGUAUAUGUCGAGGAUUUGUUCACACCUAGUGAUCCUUUUGUUCAGAUUGUCUCAUUAUAGCUAUAUGGAGAGCAUCUUCUAAUUCAUCUGUUAUAAUUAUAUUUCAGAACUUUGGUUCCAGAACAGAUACAGU
rnacentral:snRNA from 1 species